rnacentral:lncRNA from 1 species
GGGAAGUGGGGGACGUGGGACGAAGGCAGUGUGCCCACGUCAACAAGUGCCAGGGAUGGGAGAAUGUGGUGUAAUGAAGGAAGGACUGGGACUAGCAGAAAUCCGCGGCUAACGGCUAAAUCCCUCUGAAAACAAUUAAAGUGCUGCCGUUCCCUUAGCAAACCGCCUGGGCUUCUGAAGCGUCCUGUUGUUCACUUUGUUAUGGUCGCCUCCACUUUUUUUUUGGAGAGGGAUUGUGCUGUUGAUGUGCCGGGGGCUUGGCUGUGCUGAUCGGAUCUGCGCGAUAAGCCUCCACCCUCUCUUUGUCCGCGAGCCAGGCGAGACAUGAGCAGUAAGCCCACUGGGUCAACUGAGGACAAGAUGUCUGUCCGAUACCUGAAAGGGAAGAUCAAGACUCAGCACAUGCUUGAGGGAUCAUAUAAACAACCCAUAAACACACUCGGCUUGUAUGCAGCACAUGCUGAGAUCAGAGAUGAAGAGAGAAAUCCAUAUUGACUGCUCUGCAUUGACUCAAAUCAAGUUUCCUUACAAGGAUGCCACCAGCAGAUCACAGGAAAUGAUUCACUCUCUUUCUGUCCAGAUGAGACAGAAAGACGUGGAUGAACUAGGGAGCGAAAGAAAGGAGCAGGAAGAAGUGGAUGAACUGGGGAGUGAACGAAAGGACUGAGCUGACAUGAUUAUUUUAUGUAAUGACUUUCUUUGGAGUUGAUUUGCACUGGUGAUUGAGCUUCACUUCCUCCAGACCUUAUUUUAUUCUCACAGCAUUCUCACUCACCCUAAUGGUUGCACUGACGCUUUGCUGCAGACUACUUGUGUUUCUCUUUUCCAGCAGAUUUUUUAAAUGAUUCAAACCGGUUCUAUUUGAUAACAAAAUAAGAUGUGAUCCAGUGCCAUUGAUUUGUAUACUAAGCAUUACAGGGAACAGUACACAGAAAUCCACUGUCCAUGCCCAUGUUUUCUCUGUCUUGAUUUUUUAAAAGAUAAAUCUUGUCAAACAUUAGAGAUGGAGUAUAACAUUGUGGCCUCGAUAUGAUCUCAACAAUUAAAAUAUAUUUUUGUAAAUUGGCUUUAAGAAAAUGGAC